CAACCUCAACUCAUAUGGGACUACCCCCUGAAUUUAAGCAUAUUAAUUAGGGGAGGAAAAGAAACUAACAAGGAUUUUCUUAGUAGCGGCGAGCGAAAAGAAAUCAGUUCAGCACUAAGUCACUUUGUCUAUAUGGCAAAUGUGAGAUGCAGUGUAUGGAGCGUCAAUAUUCUAGUAUGAGAAAUUAACGAUUUAAGUCCUUCUUAAAUGAGGCCAUUUACCCAUAGAGGGUGCCAGGCCCGUAUAACGUUAAUGAUUACUAGAUGAUGUUUCCAAAGAGUCGUGUUGCUUGAUAGUGCAGCACUAAGUGGGUGGUAAACUCCAUCUAAAACUAAAUAUAACCAUGAGACCGAUAGUAAACAAGUACCGUGAGGGAAAGUUGAAAAGAACUCUGAAUAGAGAGUUAAAUAGUACGUGAAACUGCUUAGAGGUUAAGCCCGAUGAACCUGAAUAUCCGUUAUGGAAAAUUCAUCAUUAAAGUUAUAAUAUUUAAACAAUAUUAUACAAAUAAUGUGCAUUUUUUCCAUAUAAGGACAUUGUAAUCUAUUAACAUAUUAAAUUUAUCAUAAAAUAU
rnacentral:ncRNA from 1 species